UUCUGGGGCUUUGUAUGGAUUACUCGGAACUUUACUCUCUGAGCUCAUUUGGAACUGGGAAUUACAAUCCAAAAGAGUUUCAGCAAUAGUCUCUUUUGUCUUUGUAUUUGUUUGCAAUUUCAUCCUUGGCUUUUUCUGCCUUAUGUCGUCAACUUUGCGAGCGUUGGAGGUUUCGUAUCAGGGUUCCUUCUUGGAUCUGUACUUCUACUCAGCAGAAAUCUUGAACUGCCAAAGGUUCCAAUCAAAUUAAAGGAACUCUCUUUGAUUAUGGUGUCAAGAGUUACAUCAAGUUAAAGUUGAAGCAAAACAUGGACAGACCGGUUCUCAGGAUUGUUUCUCUUAUCCUCUUUAGCCUGAUAUUUGGCCGGUUGUCUUGUGGCAGUUCUUCAUGGGAUCAACAUCAAUAGUUAUUGCACAUGGUGCCCAUAUGUUGAUUGUCCUCUCUUUCAUUUAUGGUUGUCCUCUACCGUUGUUUCUAAGUUGCUUUUUAAUCACUGGAAUACAUUAUCAGUUGAGAUCCAAUUCUCUUAAGUCUUGAUUAUUUCUCCUUCUAUAUCUCUUGGUUCAUUGUCACUUUUAUUCUUAU